GAUGAACGCUCGCGGCAGGCCUAAUACAUGCAAGUCGAACGAGAUUAAGAGGCUUGCUUCUUAUGAAAGUGGCGCACGGGUGCGUAACGCGUAUGCAACCUACCUUAAUCAGGGGGAUAGCCCGAAGAAAUUCGGAUUAAGACCGCAUAAAAACACAGGAUAGCAUUAUCCAAUGUUCAAAUAUUUAUAGGAUUAAGAUGGGCAUGCGUGUCAUUAGCUAGUUGGCGGGGUAACGGCCCACCAAGGCGACGAUGACUAGGGGAUCUGAGAGGAUGACCCCCCACACUGGUACUGAGACACGGACCAGACUCCUACGGGAGGCAGCAGUAAGGAAGAUUGGUCAAGGGAGGGAACUCUGAACCAGCCAUGCCGCGUGCAGGAAGACAGCCCUCUGGGUCGUAAACUGCUUUUAUUCGGGAAGAAACCUUUCUACGUGUAGGAAGCUGAAUGUACCGAAGGAAUAAGGAUCGGCUAACUCCGUG
rnacentral:rRNA from 1 species